UGGAUCCAGACUUUGAUUCUGGCUCAGGACGAACGCUGGCGGCGUGCCUAACACAUGCAAGUCGAACGGAGCUCCGCCCUUCGGGACGGAACUUAGUGGCGAACGGGUGAGUAACGCGUGAAGAACCUGCCUUCCAGUGGGGGACAACAGUUGGAAACGACUGCUAAUACCGCAUGAUACUUUUGAGGGGCAUCCCUUGAAAGUCAAAGCUUUAAGUGCUGGAAGAUGGCUUCGCGUCUGAUUAGCUAGUUGGUGGGGUAACGGCCCACCAAGGCGACGAUCAGUAGCCGGUCCGAGAGGAUGAACGGCCACAUUGGGACUGAGAUACGGCCCAGACUCCUACGGGAGGCAGCAGUGGGGAAUAUUGGGCAAUGGGCGAAAGCCUGACCCAGCAACGCCGCGUGAAGGAAGAAGGCCUUCGGGUUGUAAACUUCUUUUACCAGGGACGAAGGACGUGACGGUACCUGGAGAAAAAGCAACGGCUAACUACGUGCCAGCAGCCGCGGUAAUACGUAGGUUGCAAGCGUUGUCCGGAUUUACUGGGUGUAAAGGGCGUGUAGGCGGAGGCGCAAGUUGGGAGUGAAAUCUAUGGGCUCAACCCAUAAACUGCUCUCAAAACUGUGUCCCUUGAGUAUCGGAGAGGCAAGCGGAAUUCCUAGUGUAGCGGUGAAAUGCGUAGAUAUUAGGAGGAACACCAGUGGCGAAGGCGGCUUGCUGGACGACAACUGACGCUGAGGCGCGAAAGCGUGGGGAGCAAACAGGAUUAGAUACCCUGGUAGUCCACGCUGUAAACGAUGAAUACUAGGUGUGGGAGGACUGACCCCUUCCGUGCCGCAGUUAACACAAUAAGUAUUCCACCUGGGGAGUACGACCGCAAGGUUGCAACUCAAA
rnacentral:rRNA from 1 species